GAGGCCUUGGCUUAAUUAAAGUGUCUGAGUUGCAUUCAGGAGAUGUAAGAUAGAGUCUUGCAGGUCUUA
rnacentral:tRNA from 2 species